AUUGAACGCUGGCGGCAUGCUUUACACAUGCAAGUCGAACGGUAACAGGUCUUCGGAUGCUGACGAGUGGCGAACGGGUGAGUAAUGCAUCGGAACGUGCCCAGUCGUGGGGGAUAACGCAGCGAAAGCUGCGCUAAUACCGCAUACGAUCUAUGGAUGAAAGCGGGGGACCGUAAGGCCUCGCGCGAUUGGAGCGGCCGAUGUCAGAUUAGGUAGUUGGUGGGGUAAAGGCCCACCAAGCCAACGAUCUGUAGCUGGUCUGAGAGGACGACCAGCCACACUGGGACUGAGACACGGCCCAGACUCCUACGGGAGGCAGCAGUGGGGAAGUUUGGACAAUGGGCGCAAGCCUGAUCCAGCAAUGCCGCGUGCAGGAAGAAGGCCUUCGGGUUGUAAACUGCUUUUGUACGGAACGAAACGGCUCUCUCUAAUACAGAGGGCUAAUGACGGUACCGUGAGAAUAAGCACCGGCUAACUACGUGCCAGCAGCCGCGGUAACAC
rnacentral:rRNA from 1 species